rfam:Clostridiales bacterium GWF2_36_10 gwf2_scaffold_110, whole genome shotgun sequence.
GGAGAGAUGUCCGAGCGGUUUAAGGAGCUGGUCUUGAAAACCAGUGACUCAGCAAUGAGCCGUGGGUUCGAAUCCCACUCUCUCCG